rnacentral:rRNA from 1 species
AGAGUUUGAUCCUGGCUCAGGAUGAACGCUAGCGGCAGGCCUAAUACAUGCAAGUCGACGGUAAAUGCCCCUUCGGGGGCAUGAGAGUGGCGCACGGGUGCGUAACGCGUAUGCAACCCACCCGCUGCCGGGGGAUAGCCCGGAGAAAUUCGGAUUAAUACCCCAUGAGGAGGAGUUGAGGCAUCUCAAUUUUUCAAAACUUCGGUGGCGGCGGACGGGCAUGCGUGCCAUUAGAUAGUUGGCGGGGUAACGGCCCCACCAAGUCGACGAUGGCUAGGGGAUCUGAGAGGACGGUCCCCCACACUGGUACUGAGACACGGACCAGACUCCUACGGGAGGCAGCAGUAAGGGAUAUUGGUCAAUGGGGGAACCCUGAACCAGCCAUGCCGCGUGAGGGAAUAAGGCCCUACGGGUCGUAAACCUCUUUUGCCGGGGGAUAAGGACGGGAACGUGUUCCCGUUUGAAGGUACCCGGAGAAUAAGCAUCGGCUAACUCCGUGCC